CGGACGGGUGAGUAACACGUGAGUAACCUGCCUUAGACAUUGGGAUAGCCUCGGGAAACCGGGAUUAAUACCAAAUAAAAUCAUAAUGACACGUGUCAUAACGAUCAAAACUCCGGUGGUCUAAGAUGGACUCGCGUCCCAUUAGCUAGUUGGUAGAGUAAAAGCCUACCAAGGCGACGAUGGGUAGCCGGCCUGAGAGGGUGAACGGCCACAUUGGAACUGAGAAACGGUCCAA
rnacentral:rRNA from 1 species